UUUUUUUUAUUUCAUCCCUCCGAAGUAGUAAUUAUAAACACGGAACAUUUUUAUUUUUGAAAAACUUAAACGGAUUUGACGAGAAGUUCAAAUCCGUUUCCAGAAUUCUUGUCGCUACGCACGAUUAACCGGUAUGUCGGGAUGAAAACGCGUCUAAAUUACCGUGUUGCGCGCGUGUAAGACAAACACGAUAAUGCUAUAAUAGUUUUGUGAAAAUGCGAUAGUUAUUAUUUACAACAUGAACACGAUUCGUUUUUUUUUUUUUUUUUUUUGAAACCCGAUUAUUAAAGUGCGUAUAAAGUGACGGAGUUCAGAAUAUUUCAAUUUAAACGUUUGAUGCCUUUUUUUCAAUAAGUAAAUUUCUAUAAUACAGAACCGUAAAACCCGUCAUACGCGUAGUAAAUAUUACAUUUAAAAGAAAAAGAAAAAAAAAAAAUAGUAAAAGCAUACCACCACUGGGGAGAUACAGUUCACUCUCGCGCUGCACGUUCGGAAUAUUGUAAUAAAAUACGGACAGGUCAAUAAUAUUGUGACUGAAUGUGCACAUACAUAAGUAUAUUAUACUAUAAUGUAUAUAGGUAUACCUAUUAGGCGCUCGUUUCCCUCGGCAUAAUUAAGUAUUCUGUUAUAAUUUAAAAGCGAAUUGCAAUGCAGAAAUAAUUGCAUUCGGAGAACUAUAAACGUUUUACGCGUGUAUAUAUGUAUGCACGUGAAACCGAGCGAAAUUCAGUCUACGUUAUACGUACUCGUGUCGUAUGUGUACAUAUGAUAUGCACGCAGGAGUAUAAAAUUGAAAAUAAUAAUUAUUGUUUUCAGAAAGGACGCUACACUCGAGAUUCGGGGCAAGAUUUCCGGUAUGAGAAAAACAAAAUG